CCCCUCUCAGGGUCGUACCUGGAGAGUUUCCAGUCCCCUACCAGUCUCGGCUACGGGAGGGAGAGUCAAGCAGAGGCCUGUCCGUUCCAUUCCUGGCUUGGCCAGUGGCUAGCGACUGGUAGGCCAUCUGCUACAAGU
rnacentral:snoRNA from 2 species